UACAGAGGGUGCAAGCGUUGUUCGGAAUUACUGGGCGUAAAGCGUUUGUAGGUUGUAUUGAGAGUCCUAGGUGAAAUCCCCGAGCUCAACUCGGGAACUGCCUCGGAGACCUCAGUACUAGAGUACUGAAGGGGUCGUUGGAAUUCCAAGUGUAGCGGUGAAAUGCGUAGAUAUUUGGAGGAACACCUGUGGCGAAGGCGGACGACUGGUCAGAGACUGACACUGAGAAACGAAAGCGUGGGUAGCAAACAGGAUUAGAUACCCUGGUAGUCCACGCCGUAAACGAUGCAUACAAGUUGUAGCUGGGAUUGACUCCGGCUGUGACGAAGCUAACGCAAGUAGUAUGCCGCCUGGGGAGUACGGUCGCAAGACUA
rnacentral:rRNA from 1 species